rnacentral:rRNA from 1 species
CCUACGGGAGGCAGCAGUGGGGGAUAUUGCACAAUGGGGGGAACCCUGAUGCAGCGAAGCCGCGUGAGCGAAGAAGUACCUCGGUAUGUAAAGCUCUAUCAGCAGGGAAGAAAAUGACGGUACCUGACUAAGAAGCCCCGGCUAAAUACGUGACAGCAGCCGCGGUAAUACGUAUGGGGCAAGCGUUAUCCGGAUUUACUGGGUGUAAAGGGAGCGCAGGCGGCCUGCCAAGUCUGGUGUGAAACCCCGGGGCACAACCCCGGGCCUGCAUUGGAAACUGGCGGGCUGGAGGGUCGGAGGGGCAGGCGGAAUUCCUAGUGUAGCGGUGAAAUGCGUAGAUAUUAGGAGGAACACCGGUGGCGAAGGCGGCCUGCUGGACGAUGACUGACGCUGAGGCUCGAAAGCGUGGGGAGCAAACAGGAUUAGAUACCCCUGUAGUC